UACGUAGGGCGCAAGCGUUGUCCGGAAUCAUUGGGCGUAAAGAGCUCGUAGGCGGUCUGUCGCGUCGGAUGUGAAAACUCGGGGCUUAACCCCGAGCCUGCAUUCGAUACGGGCAGACUAGAGUUCGGUAGGGGAGACUGGAAGUCCUGGUGUAGCGGUGGAAUGCGCAGAUAUCAGGAGGAACACCGGUGGCGAAGGCGGGUCUCUGGGCCGAUACUGACGCUGAGGAGCGAAAGCGUGGGGAGCGAACAGG
rnacentral:rRNA from 1 species